GGAGCAGCGCCGGGCAGCGUCUGCUGGGGCUGCUGAGAGGGAACAAGAGGCUCUGCUGUUGUUUUCACCCACAUGAAGUCUCCUUUGGAUCCUGACGCUCUCGAUUUUAUCUUCUAUAAGUGGAGAGAGAGGGGAAAAAGCUGAGCUGAUGGCUGGGAGAAGGACACAAAGCGUAAAGCUUCCUGCGAUGUUUUCUGUGCCUAAUGGGCUGGGACAGUGGCUGCUCUCCAGGGAAUUGUGCUGGGAGCUGUGCUCACUUCUCUGUCCCAGGCAAUGCUGGAUCCUUCACAGGAGUUGCUGCAGGCACCACUUUUCUUCUGGCGUGAUAACAGGGCUCAUAACUCCGGCUUCAUAAUUCCCUCAUCACUCAGCCGGGAUCAAGGGAAAGCUCCUAAAGGCCCCUGGGCCACUGCAGGGCACUGGGAAACGGAGUUUAAAUAGGAAUUUAAAUGGAAAUGUUCACCUGAGGAAGGGCUGCUUAACAAGCAGGGCCUCUUCUUUCCUGCCAAGCCCUCUCUGCCUGCAGGAGGGAGGCAGAGGCCAGCCUGGGCUGCCGGGGAGUUGGGAUGGGAUUUCUGCAGGGGUUGUUUCUGAGCACAGCCCCCUUUCCAGCCUGUGAACAGCACAUCCCCCUAUUCCCUGCCUGGCCUUUCCCGGGGCUCCUUGGCCCCUUCCUGGGGCCAUUCCAGAGGCUGGGAAUGGGGGAGUUUCCUGCGGGAGCUCAGAGUGGUGGAGCUGCUUUGGGCAGCCCCCCCAGAAGGAGCAGGACUGACUCUGCUCCAGGCUUGCAGUGACAAUUUCCUUUAGAGCAGAGCUGUGCUUUGGGCACUCUUCAGGGGGACAGAGGGCUGCCAGGAGAGGAUUUUAGAGGAUUUUCCAUUAUCUUGCAGCCAAGCAUUUCCCCUCCCUUCCCUUCCCUGAGCUCGGGGUCUGUUGGCUGCCCCAGCUGCAGUCCAGGCCAGUGUCAGCACACCAGCUCCCCAAAGAUCACUGAGCCAUCCACUCCUUUGGGUGGGAAGGGAAAGCUUUGACUUGUUUGGAUUCUCAUCUUCCCAAGCUAGCUGCUGAGUUUAAAUCCAUAAAGCUGGAAUCUGCCUUUACUGGGUCCAUAACUGGAUUUUUUUAUCCAUCCUCACAAUGGAUAUUUUUCCCAUACUGCCAUGACACUGGGCUUGUGUCUUCUUUUUUUUACUUUACUCCUUUAAGCCUCAUCCCUGCUCCUCUAAUUUAAUAAAUUACUGAAAUUAUUAUUUUUUUUUUUCCCCUGUGCUGGGGCUGGAGUUGCUGAGCAUGAUGAAGUUUUUCUGGGGAGAUGCAGAGCCCAUGUUUUAAUUACUGCCCAGGCCAGGUGAGCUCAUCUGGGGUUUUUCCCAGGGAAACAGCCUUGGCUCUGGCAGUGCUCUGCUCCCACCACUGCUAUGCAGCACCCUCCACCUCAGAUGUUUGCUGAUUUUAUUUUGGGCAAACUCCUUGAAAUCCAAAGAUUUUCCUCCGGUUUGUUUUGCUUUGCUGGGUCAGGAGUUCUUGCUGCAAUCUCUGCUGUUGCGGGGAAAUUUAACUGGGGUUUUUCCCUCCUACUGCGAAAAUCCAGGAAAAGAAAGUGUCUGUGUGGAGGGGAACUUGGAAAGGGAAAGGAAAAGCUGUUGUGUUAUGCAGAAGAAUUUCCUUGCCUCUUUUAACUGCCUCUCGAGAUUAAAAUUCUCUGCCUUUAUUUUUAGCAGCCAGGCUGGUGGCAGGAACAAUUCCUUCCCUUGGCUUUGUCAAUAGGUAAAUACCACAUUUAUUUCAAGCAAAAUCUGGAUGCAGAGGAAAUGCACCAGUCCUGUGAGGAAAGCAUGGAGAGCUGGGAAUGCAGGCACAGCUUUCCUGCACUCAUAAUAUUGCCAUUACCACUGAAUUCCUGCUCCUGGCUUUUAUUUAAUGGUAACUUUGUGUGUGAACAGAUGGGGCUGUGCAAUGUAAAGACAAUCAAUUCUCAUACUAAAAUGACAAAUGAAGAACAGAAAAGCGUGUCAUAUUUUGAGGGAUUUUUAACAUAUUUAUCUGUGUUACAGUGAAAGUUCUAAAGAAAAAUUGCUGAUUAAAGCAGGUUUUAUCACAGGUGAACUCCAAUAGGUAGAGGAAUGUUGCCUUUUAGUUUUGAUUUGUCCUUUUCUAACCCACCAAAUCCCACUUGUGAUUUGUGCCUUUACUGAAAUAGAAAAGGAUUAAGUGACAUGGUGGAGCUUUAGAUGUUGUGCAGCAAAUCACACUGUCACAAACUGGGAGAAAAACUCCCAGGAAUGUGAAUUUACACGGGGUUGGAGAGAGCUCUUUUGGCUUGCAGGGUUUAAAUAUGAUUAUGAAAGGGGGUGGAGAGAGGCAGAAAGCAAGCAGAGAAUCAGAGGAAUGCUGGGAUUUAAAUUUGGGUUAUUUUCUAUUUAAAUCUGCAGGCAGAUUCUCCUGAGGGAAGGAGCCCAGGCAGCUCUGGCUGAGCCCAUAUGGAAAGGCUCCUUUUCCUCCCCACGGGAAUGUGCUCUCCAGCAAUUCCCGAUAUUUCCUGCCAGCACUGAGGGAAUCAGCACAGGUUAAACCAGGCCACGGCUCCUCAGGCAGCUCCUGGAGGAGGAGGAGGAGGAGGAGGAAUGCACUCUGGGGGGACAGGAGGUGACAGUCUGGGAAUGGGGGCAGGCAGAGGUUGGGAUCCACCAGAGCAGCUUGGGCUGGGCACAGAGUGUCCUGCUCAAAUGUGAAAUCUAAACCUCUGCUCUGCUCAAUGCCCAGCAGGCAAACAGGGUUAAUAUUGAAUAUUGGUGCCUUUUCACAGCUGCAGGAGGGAAAGGUGCUGGGAGGAAAUUCCCUGCCGAGGUCACCACAAACAGGAGCCCUGUGUGAGGUGUAAGUGCCUCCAGCAUGAGGAGCAGUAAAAUUCCAAAAUGGAAUUGUGCCUUUGGUGCCACGCUCAGCUGGAGCUGGGCAAGGUGUUCCCACUGAAAGGCUGCUGAACCCAAGCUGAUCCCAAGAUUUCCUAUCCAUUUUCACUCCCCUUUGCCAAGAUAUUUAUUACCUGGGCAGGCCUGACCUUGCUUUGCACUUAGAUCUGAAAUGUACAGGUGAUACCUGGCUGCAGCCAAAUUGUGAGAAAGGGGUUCAGGAUUUCAGUGGUGCCAUAAAACCCUUCAGCAGGUGUGGAGCCUCCACGGGCAGUGAGAUCCAAAUCACCCUCCCAGUCCUCAUUAACCAAACCAUUUCAGCUCCCAGCUCCUUCCUUGGGUUGGUUUUGUGGGGGCUGAGAAGACAGAAUUGGAAAUGAGACCUAAUUCCCCCCGUUUGGUAAAACAAACAAGCAGAUGCCGUGGACGUGAUGCUGUGUGUCACAUCCCGGGUCCCUGCUCCACCUCCUCGGGGCGAGGAGCCUUUGAUGUCCUUCCAGAUUGUUCCUCUCACACAGCUUUGUCUGGGAGGGGAAUUCCUGCCUGACAGCUGCUCGCACUCCCACAUAGCCACGCUGUCAAAAUAUUACAUUCUGCCCUAAAUUAUUUGGUAGCAAUGGGAAAAACACCUGCUUGCUGAGAGCACUUCUUCCUUUUCAUUAUCUGCAGGAAUCUGGGGGGAGAUGGAUUAUUUCCAAUGGUAAUGACAGCCCUGUGCAGGAGCAGGGAAUUUUUGAUUCUUCUUCUUCCACUCCUUGACAUUCAGCGUGGCAGGCCUGGCACACAGGUUCCAUGGAGAGAAACAGGAGACAGGAGCAGCAGCUGGGAAGUCAAGAGGAGGUUUGACAUCAAACAGGAACUCAGAGAGCUGGGAAAGCCCCUGGGAGUGCAAUAAACCCUUCCAGGAGGUGUCUGCAUGGAAGCCCGAGCUCAGGGGGGAAGGACCCAUCCCUGGCAGCUCUCCAGGAGCAUCUGAGUGAAAUUGUUUUCCUGUCCUGAAAAACGCUUCAGAAACUUUCCCUGCCCAAACUGAGCUCCCACAUCCCUUCCUUCCCAUCUCCCCGUGGCUCUGCUUCCUUUGCCACGCUGAAGGCACCAAUUGUUCUUCCUGAGAGGCAGAAGAAGUUCAAGCUGGGUCUCGUGUGACAGCAGCAACAUCAGCUGAGGUUUUGCUUGAAAAGUGCUGCAGGGUUGCUGAGAAGGGACUGAAACUUCUCCAUUCCAGCCCUCUCUGGGAGACAGGAGGGUGCCCAUGGGGCUGGAAUGAGAUGGGAUUGAAGGGCCCUUCCAGCCCAAACCUGUCUGGGAUUUUAGACCCUGCUCCUCCCUUCCAGCCCAAAUCAUUCUGGGAUUUUAGACCCUGCUGCUCCCUUUGAACCCAAACCACUCUGGGAUUUUAGACCCUGCUCUUCCCUUCCAGCCCAAAUCAUUCUGGGAUUUUAGACCCUGCUCCUCCCUUCCAGCCCAAAUCAUUCUGGGAUUUUAGACCCUGCUCCUCCCUUCCAACCCAACCACUCUGGGAUUUUAGACCCUGCUGCUCCUUUCCAGCCCAAAACAUUCUGGCAUUUUAGAUCCGGCUCUUCCCUUCCAACCCAAACUCAUCUGGGAUUUUAGACCCUACUCCUCCCUUUGAACUCAAAUAAUUCUGGGAUUUUAGACCCUGCUGCUCCUUUCCAGCCCAAAUCAUUCUGGGAUUUUAGACCCUGCUCCAGGAGGGGAAGGCAGCCCCAGCCUGGUCCCUGGAGGUGGGGACAGUGCCUUGCUCUGUUCCCUGCAGGACCCAAUGGAUUUUGGGAUUUGGAAUAAACUUGCAGGUGCUGAGUGAUGAGGGGCAGUAACAAAUCUUCUUUUGCAGUAUUUAUAUGAAAUUACUGCGAUCCAAAGAGCAGGGAGCUGAAGCUGGGAGUUGGUUUCACCAACUGAAAGUGGUUUUAUUUUAUCUGUUAUUUUUAAGAAAUCCAUAAAAAAUGAAUGUUUGGUUUUUAUUUUUCAUCUGAUGUUAAAGAUUUAGAGCGGGGAAGGUGUUUCUGUCUGGACCCCACAGCCAGGAGCUGCUGUGCAAACCCCAGAGUUCUCUCUCCUCUGCUGAGGGCGGGGGUGUCGCUCUGCAGGGGGAUAGAAAAGGAAAAUCUCUUGGCAAGAGCAGGCUUUUCCUUAUGUUUUCUGCUUUUCCAAUAUGUUCCCUGAGCGUUUCCAAGUAAAACACUUCCUGACACAUCUUCCAGCAGGAAGGGAGUGUGAUUUCAGUGCGCACGGGGAUCUGGGGGAGACAACAACCCCCAAAACACAGGGAGAGGGGUCCCUCAGGUCAGGAACUCCCAUUGCACAGGAGGGAGCUCCACACCUGCCUGGGCUCCAGGAGGGGCUGGACAAUGCCUCAGGGGCAGGUGGGGUUGCUGGGUGUUGGGCUCCAUCCCUGUGGGUCCCAUUCCCUCAGGAUAUUCCCCAGUUCCACGAAGGCUCCUUGCACCACCUGCACCUCCCUGCUGGGCUGGAUCCGCCUGACUCAGCUGCAGGGAGCAGUUGUGCUGGUGCCUCCACUUCCCUGGUUGUCCUGAACAUAUUGGGAACACUGGGUUACUUCAUUUGUUCUAUUAAUAAGCAUCAUUCUUGCCUAUGCGAGCGAAAAUCGGAAUAAAAGCCAAAGCAAAGCUGCCUUGCUGCUGCUCCCUUGGCUGGGCUCCACAGGGAUCAGCUGUGGGUGCAGCCAAGCCCUGCUCUGUGGCAGCACCCCGGCCUUGGGAAGGGCUGGGAAUUCUCCUCCCUGCACAUUCCGAUGCUCUGGAAUGAGAUUUGGGGUUCAGGACAGUGGCAGGGGCCUGGGGCGGGCUGGCUGGGCCUCGAAGUCCCUUCCACCCCAAACUAUCCUGGAAUUCUGUUAUAAAACCAUAUUUUGGGGGGGAAAAAAAAAGGUUACUAAUUCCCCUGCUGGAAAGAGGAGGAGAGGAGAGCAGAGCAAUCUGCCAAAUGUUUUUUAUAAAUUGUUUUGGCUCUGUUUUCCUGGCCAGCACUGGUUACAGUCCCGAGGCAGGUGCCAGGCCCUGCUGCUGCCAGUGCAGCACGGUGAGGUGGGCAGGGGCUGCAGGCACCAGAGCUGCCCAGAGCAGAGCAAAUGCACGGGGAACUUUGGAAGGGCACCGGGGAGUUUUAUUUUCUGUAGGGGCAGAAGAACAAAGGCCUUGAGCAGUAAAUGCUGGUGAGGGGAGCUCGCAGGGAGGAUGUGCUGCCCUGCCCCACACCUCUGCAUCCCUGAGGAACUCUGCUGAGCAGCACCCUGAAGGGUCCAGUCCCAGCUCAACGCCCAGCAGAAAUAAUAAAAACAGAAACAAACAUGUUGGAGUUCAGCGAGGAGGAAAAACCUAAUUAUACAAAGAGCUUUAACUGAUAAAUGCAACAUCAAGGUAGCAGCAGCUCUGCUUCUACCAGAGCAGAGUCUGGUGUCAGCUCUUCUCUCUGAGCCAAGGCUGCCCUUUAUGUGCUGGGUUUUGCACCAGUUGUGCUUGAAUUGAACAUGGAAAUAAAUCAUUAACUGUCUUUUUGAGCUGCCUGUCCUCCUGAAAAGCAAGAGAGAGCAAAAGGCCGUGCAGGCAGAAGGAGCAAGGCCCGGGUGAGUGAGGGCUGUGCUGAGCAGUAUUGAUCAGCUCAAGGUCACCUGUUCCUGCACAAUGCACUCCUCAGGACCCCAGAUUCAAAACGGCUGCAGAAAAUCAGAUUUUCAGAACCAGCUUGCUGCUGCCCUGUCACACAGAUCCCCAGGACGGGGUUCACGCUGGAAAUAAGGGAUGAACCACCAGGAGAGCACAUCAGGAAUUUCCACAGCAGUGCCACCCUUGGUGCUUCACUGAUGGGAGGUUCCAAAGCCCACCAGCAGCUGAUCCAAGUGAUCCCACAUGGUUCUAUAACAUUUAAACACUGCCACAGACUUUUCCUGAAAGUUCAGUGUAUUCCAAAUGCUCUUCCACUUUUGUUUUCUGCAUCUGUUGCUCAGUUUGCCUUUGGUCAACUUCUGCUCACCUAAACAUCCUUAAACCCACCAGGUAUAAAAUCAAAAUCUGUCUGGUAUUUCUUUGGAGAGAAUAAAAAGUUUUGACAAGACAAAA